rnacentral:rRNA from 1 species
AUGCUCCGGGAGAAGCUCGCCUCCCCCCACGCCCGCCGCUUCCUCAACGUCUCCACCGGCGAGUGCAUAGAAACGGAAAUCUUGGAGCUCCGCGAGCAUGACGAGCUCGGGGUCACCCCCGAGGGCCUCAUCAUCUUGCUCCACGGGCGCACCCACGUCCGCCUGCUCAACCCGCUGACGCGCCAGCAGCUCACGGAUCUCCCGCCGUUAACCACGCUGCUGCCUCCAGAGCGCCACUCCGACCUCCUUCCGGACCGUGAUUUUCCUCUCAGAGCGUGGGGCUCCGGCAUUGCCGCAGAUGAUUCCUCGGUCGUGCUUUGUUUCGACUCGCUAUGCAUUGUAGGCAUCGCCAAGCCCGGCGACGAGCGCUGGACAAUGGUCCGGUACAAGAUUUCGGUGCACACAGCACCCUUGAUGUUUGCAGGCCGCUUCUAUUGCACCACAGAAAAUGGCGUCUUGCUGCUAGAGACCAGUGAAGAUGAGCCACCGCGCAUGGAGGUGGCUGCCAGAUUGCGAAAGCCAAUCUCCGCGAUGUUAAAUGAUAGCGCACACCUGGUGAAUAACGACGGGGAACUGAUGCUGGUGCACCGCACGAUUCGGUACCUUAGGAAUAGGUCAAGGAGGAGGACGUAUCACGUUUAUAAGGUGGAUUUGGACACCGGGACUCUAUUCCCGGUCAAGAGCCUGGGCGGCCGAGCAUUGUUCAUGGGCAUGCAUUGCUCUUUUUCGGUUUCCACCAAGAUUUUCCCCUCUAUAAGCGGUGAUACCAUCUACUUGAGCUUUGAUCUCAAGGAGAGAGUCCAUGAUGAAGAAAUAGAGGCCUACCAUCUGCCAAAUGGAAGCACGAAAUCUGCACAUUACAACCUAGACAGCUCCGUGCCGUGGCCUCAUAAAGUAGUGCCGGGGCCUCAUACUCUCAUUGAUUGUUUCUCCUUGUGCAAUACCGUUGAACCAUGUCCAAAACAUGUAGCAUUGGUCAAC